rnacentral:piRNA from 1 species
AGGACUUCAGGUAGAAAUAUCAG